UUACGAUGAUCAUUUAGAGGUUUAUUUUGAACAACUGGCAAUUCCACGAAUGAUGGAAUAAAACAUAUGAAGUAGAAGGACUGGAACCUCCAGAAAAAGUACUUUAAGUUACCUACAGGUGAUCCUAGUCAGGCAAAUGAAAACAGUAGCCUAAAGUGUCAGUUUCAACCAGAAAAUAACAGCUCUGAUUUCUCAUGGCUCACACUCUUCUGAAACGACUCGGGUAGAGGCUGAGGAAGGCCGUGUUGUUUGUCUACCUGGGACUACACCUACUGAAAGAAGUUCUCAAGUUCUGACUGAGUUCUAAAAUUUUUUGAAGAUUAGAAU
rnacentral:lncRNA from 1 species